UUUUUUAUUUGGUCUCUCUUUUUUUGGCCUUUCUGUUCUUCUUUUUUCGUAAAGUUCGAAGUCUCAUCCCAACUUGUGGGGGAAUCAUAGUCUCCAUCAUUCUUUCCUCACUUGGGACAAUGCUCUAAUAAUGAAGAUCAUCACACUUUUAUUUACUUACAACUCAAGAUUACAACUUGAUACUUAGAACAAGAUAUGACUCUAUAUGAAUGCCUUUGGCGGUGUACCGGGAUAUGCAAUGAAUCAAGAGUGGCAUGUAUGGAAAUUAUGAAGGUGGCCUUGCCACAAUACGAUGUCAACUACAUGAUCAUGCAAGAGCAAUAUGACAAUGAUGAUCCGUGUCAUAAUAAACGGAACGGUGGAAAGUUGCAUGGCAAUAUAUCUCUGAAUGGCUAUGGAAAUGCCAUAAUAGGUAGGUAUGGUGGCUGUUUUGAGGAAGUUAUAUGGUGGGUGUAUUGUACCGGCGAAAGUUGCGCAGCACGAGAGAGGCUAGCAAUGGUGGAAGGAUGAGAGUGCGUAUAAUCCAUGGACUCAACAUUAGUCAUAAAGAACUCAUAUACUUAUUGCAAAAAUCUACAAGCCAUUGAAAACAAAGUAUUACGCGCAUGCUACUAGGGGGAUAGAUUGGUAGGAAAAGACCAUCGCUCGUCCCCGACCGCCACUCAUAAGGAAGACAAUCAAUAAAUAAAAUUAUGCUCCAACUUCAUCACAAAGCGGUUCACCAUACGUGCAUGCUACGGGAAUCACAAACUUCACAACAAGUAUUCUUUAAAUUCACAAUUACCCAACUAGCAGGACUCUAAUAUCACCAUCCUCAUAUCUCAAAACAAUUAUCAAGCAUCAAAUUGAUCAUAGCAUCCAAUUCACUUCCUAUGAUAGUUUUUAUUAUACCCAACUUGGAUGCCCAUCAUUCUAGGACCAAUUUUAUAACCAUAGCAAAUACCAUGAUGUUCUAAAAGACUCUCAAAAUAAUAUAAGUGAAUCAUGAGAGAUCAAAGAUUUCUUCAAAAUUAAGCCACCGCCGUGCUCUAAAAGAUACAAGUGAAGCACUAGAGCAAAACUAUCUAGCUCAAAAGAUAUAAGUGAAGCACAUAGAGUAUUCUAAUAAAUUCCAAAUCAAGUGGGUUUCUCCCAAAAGGUGUGUACAGCAAGGAUGAUUGUGGUAAUCUAAAAAGCAAAUACUAAUAUCAUACAAGACACUCUAAGCAAAACACAUAUCAUGUGGAGAAUAAAAAUAUAGCUCCAAGUAAAGUUACCGAUAAACGAAGACAAAAGAGGGGAUGCCUUCCGGGGCAUCCCCAAUCUUAGGCUUUUGGUUAUCCUUGAAUAUCUUGGAGUGCCAUGGGCAUCCCCAAUCUUAGGCUCUUUCCACUCCUUAUUCCAUAGUCCAUCAAAUCUUUACCCAAAACUUGAAAACUUCACAACACAAAACUCAACAGGAAAUCUCAUAAGCUCCGUUAGUGCAAGAAAGAAAAAACACCACAUAAGAUACUGUAAUGAACCCAGUCUUUAUUUAUAUUGGUGUUAAACCUACUGUAUUCCAACUUUUCUAUGGUUUAUACCCCCCGAUACUAGCCAUAGAUGCAUCAAAAUAAGCAAACAACACACGAAAAAUAGAAUCUGUCAAAAACAGAACAGUCUGUAGCAAUCUGUAACUCUAGAAUACUUCUGGAACUCUAAAAAUCCUACCAGAAUAGUAAGUCCUGGGAAAUUUGUCUAUUGAUUUGCAGCAAAAACAAUCAACGAAAAAGCAUGUUUCUGUGAAUUACUAAAAUUAUUUUUGUGCGUGCAAAAGUUUCUGUUUUUCAGCAGAAUCAAAUUAACUAUCACCGUAGGUUAUCCUAUAGGUUCUACUUGGCACAAACACUAAUUAAAACAUGAAAACACAUCUAAACAGAAGCUAGAUGAAAUAUUUAUUACUAAACAGAAGCAAUAAGCAAGAAACAAAAAAAAUUGGGUUGCCUCCCAACAAGCAGUAUCGUUUAACGCCCUUAGCUAGGCAUUGAUAAUUUCGAUGAUGCUCAUAUGAAAGAUAGCAAUCGAAACACGAAGAGAGCAUCAUGUAGCAUGUGAAAAACACAUCUAAGUCUAACAUACUUCCUAUGCAUAGGCAUCUUGUAAGCAAACAAAUUAUCAAGGCAAGCAAAAACUAGCAUUUGCAAGGAAGAACAAAGAGAUGGUAGCAAUCUCAACAUGAAGAGAGGUAAUUUGGUAACAUGAAAAUUUCUACAACCAUAUUUUCCUCUCUCAUAAUAAUUACAUGUAGGAUAAUAAGCAAAUUCAACAAAAUAGCUAUCACAUAAAAUAUUUUCAACACAAUCCACAUGCAUGCAAAGUUGACACUCUUCCAAAAUAGUAGGAUUAACAUUAACUAAAGUCAUGACCUCUCCAAGCCCACUUUUAUCAAAAACUUCAUAAGAUUGAUCAAAAUCCAAAUAUGUGGGAUCUAAAAUCGACACUCUUCCAAACUCACUUUCAAUAAUAUUGCAAACACUAUUAUCAAUCUCAUAUUCAUCAUGGGGGUUAAAUAAAUUUUCAAGAUCAAAAGAAGAAUCACACCAAUCAUGAUCAUUGCAACAGGUAGUAGACAUAGAAAAACUAGCAUCCCCAAGCUUAGGGUUUUGCAUAUUAUUAGCACAAUUGACAUCAAUAGAAUUUGUAGUAAAAUCAUUUCAAUCAUGCUUUUUAUUCAAGGAGCUAUCGUGAAUCUCUUCAUAAAUUUCUUCAUCACAAUUUUUAGAUUCACAAAUUUCAAGCAAAACAUCAUAAAGAUAAUCUAGUGCACUCAACUCACAAGCAAUUGGUUCUUCAUAAUUGGAUCUCUUGAAAAGAUUAGCAAGUGGAUGAGGAUCCAUGAACUUUUAGCAAGCGAAGAUGCAAGCAAAAAGAAGUCACAUGGAGACACAAGAUCGAACGGAAGAGGGCGAAGAAAACGGCCAGGGUGAAGUGGGGGAGAGGAAAACAAGAGGCAAAUGGCAAAUAACGUAAUGUGAGGGAGAUGAGUUUGUGAUGGGUACUUGGUAUGUCUUGACUUGAGCGAAGACCUCCCCGGCAACGGUGCCAGAAAUCCUUCUUGCUACGUCUUGAGCUUGCGUUGGUUUUCCUUGAAGAGGAAAGGGUGAUGCAGCAAUAGUAGCAUAAGUAUUUCCCUCUUUUUUUGAGAACCAAGGUAUCAAUCCAGUAGGAGGCUCCUCAAAAGUCCCACGCACCUACACAAACAAACAAGAACCUCGUAACCAACGCAAUAAAGGGGUUGUCAAUCCCUUCACGGCCACUUGCGAAAGUGAGAUCUAAUAGAGAUAAUAUGAUAAGAUAAAUAUUUUUGGUAUUUUUAUGAUAUAGAUUGGAAAGUAAAAGAUGCAAAUAAAAGAUAGAUGAAAACUUAUAUGAUUAAGGAUAGACCCGGGGGCCAUAGGUUUCACUAGUGGCUUCUCUCAAGAUAGCAUAAGUAUUACGGUGGGUGAACGAAUUACUAUCGAGCAAUUGAUACAAAAGCGCAUAGUUAUGAGAUUAUCUAGGCAUGAUCAUGUAUAUAGGCAUCACGUCCGUGACAAGUAGAUCGACUCCUCCUGCAUCUACUAUUAUUACUCCACACAUCGACCGACUCCUGCAUGCAUCUAGAGUAUUAAGUUCAUAAGAACAGAGUAACGCAUUAAGAAAGAUGACAUGAUGUAGAGGGAUAAACUCAUGCAAUAUGAUAUAAACCCCAUCUUUUUAUCCUCAAUGGCAACAAUACAAUGCGUGCCUUGCUGCCCCUGCUGUCACUAGGAAAGGACACCGCAAGAUUGAACCCAAAGCUAAGCACUUCUCCCAUUGCAAGAAAGAUCAAUCUAGUGGGCCAAACCAAACUGAUAAUUCUAAGAGACUUGCAAAGAUAACUUAAUAACACAUAAAAGAAUUCAGAGGAGAUUCAAAUAUUUAUCAUAGAUAAACUUGAUAAUAAACCCACAAUUCAUCAGAUCUCAACAAACACACCACAAAAAAGAGUUACAUCAAAUAGAUCUCCAAGAAGAUCGAGGAGAACUUUGUAUUGAGAUUCAAAGAGAGAGAAGAAGCCAUCUAGCUAAUAACUAUGGACCCGAAGGUCUGUGGUAAACUACUCACAACUCAUAGGAGAGGCCUUGGAGAUGAUGUAGAGGCCCUCCGUGGUCGAUUCCCCCUCCGACGGAGCGCCGGCGAAGGCUCCAAGAUGGGAUCUCACGGAUACAGAAGGUUGCAGCGGUGGAAUUAGGUUUUUGUGGUCACUUCUGAUGGUUUCAGGGUACGGGAGUAUAUAUAGGAGGAAUAAGUAGGUCAGUGGACGCUCGAGGGGCCCACGAGGGUGGGGCGCGCGCUCACCCCCAGGGGGGCGCCGGGCACCCUCGUGGCCGCAUCAGUUGUUGCUUGACGUCCACUCCAAGUCUCCAGGUUUGCAUUUGUUCCAAAAAGAUCGCUCCCGAAGGUUUCAUCCCGUUUGGACUCCGUUUGAUAUUCCUUUUCUUCGAAACACUGAAAUAGGCAAAAAAAACAGCAAUUUAGGCUGGGCCUCCGGUUAGUAGGUUAGUCCCAAAAAUGAUAUAAAAGUGUAAAGUAAAGCCCAUAAACAUCCAAAACGGGUAAUAUAAUAGCAUGGAACAAUCAAAAAUUAUAGAUACGUUGGAGACGUAUCAGCAGCGACGACAAACCAGGGGAGAAGCAUGGGAUAAGCGAGACACUGAGUGGCUCGGACGGACCAGGGGAUGUGCUCGGUCCGACCAGGUGGGGGAUCUUUUAAUAACUAGCAAAUUUGCAAAAAAACUGCGUGCAUGCGUAUUUGAUUGAGCUAGCACACGUGGCAGUCAAUGCACACUUGGCGGUGGUUGACUCGGGCCAGAUCAGCCAAUACGUAUAGCAAAGCGUACAAUGGACCGUAGAUGACCCCUAAGUGCAAGUUUGGUGACUGUAUUUCGGGUAUUUGUAACCGUAGGGACUAAAGUGGGCACCAGCGCAAGUAAUAGGGCUUGUAAUGAAUUUUUCUCUUCCAAAAAACACUAGUACAAAUGUAAUCACGAUCAUACACAAUGGAGCUUAUAAACAGAAUCCAAGAAAGCCUCUGCCACCUUUCUGAGCCGUGAAAGGGUGAUGUGAGGGAACAAAAUGGUCGUAUUUGGACAAUUUGUCGAUGACCACAAACAAACAUUUGUACCUGCCAGAUGUGGGCAACCCUUUUACAAAAUCUAUCAUGACCAUUUCCCAAGGAGUUUUAGGUAUUGGUAACGGCUGCAGCAAGCCGGGGUAAGGAAUCCUCUCUGGUUUGGCCUGCUGGCAGACAAGAAAGUGUUGGACAAACUGUUUGAUAAAACCUUUCAUACCAUCCCAACAAAAAAGUUGAUAAACAUGGCGAUAGGUGACAUGGAAAUCAGAGUGCCCUCCCAAGGGGCUGUCAUGGAAGGCACUCACUAUUUUCUUGUGCAAAGAUGGAUCAGCUCCAACCCAGAUGCAACUGUCAACUCGGAGUAAACUGGCCACAAUGCAGCCCAGGUAAUGUUGGCCACAAUGCAGCCCAAGGAAUCAUUGUAUAGCUGGCCACAAUGUUACCGAACCACACUGAUUGGGUAGAAGAAAUAGCAUGCAGCCCAGGUAAUGUUUCACUCACUGAAUGAGGCAUGUGAGACAAAGCCUCGGCGCCUCGAUUCUCGGAUCCUUUCUUAUAGCUGAUGGUAUACUAUAAACCCAAAAGCUUGGUUAGAGCCUUCUGCUGCCAACUAAUAUGCAAACGCUGAUCAGUCAAACUAGCCAAAGUAUGUUGAAUGAUGAAGUCUGAUAAAUGAAGAGAUUAACGACAAUGCUCCACUGCCAACAAGAUUGCCAAGUACUCAUUUUCAUAACAGAUAGUAUUUGAUUUCUUGGACCUAAAGCUUAACUCGGAUAUGCCAAAGGGUGACCUUGCAUCAGAACAUCACCAAUGCCCACAUCACAAGCGUCAGUCUCCGCUACAAAUUUCUUAGAGAAAUCUGGAAGAGCCAAACCAGGGAUGUAACCAUAGCAUGUUUGAGAGCAACAAAAGCUUAAUUUCCCACUUUUGUACAAUGAAACGGCACGCCCUUUUUAAGAAGGUUUGUAAUAGGCCUACAAAUGAUCCCGUAAUGUUGGAUGAACUUUCUAUAUAGAUAGCUAGGCAGGGAAGCAGUUUUAGGCGGGAAAGAGAGAUGAUGUUGGCGCCAAUCCACACGCGCCUCCUCCUUCUCUGGCUCCUUUCCUCCAGUAGAUCUGCUCCCUCCUCUACAGCAGAUCCUCUCAAGUAGCUCCUCAUCCUCCUCCUCUUCAGUACAGCAGGAACCAUCAACAGGCAACAGCAAGGAGCCAACUGCCAAGAUAUACCUCCCCCAUCCUCUACUCCUCUCCCUCCCCCUUCUCCCUCCUCUGCUCUGUUUCUUCCAUGUUCAGCUGUUCAUUGCUUGCUGCUUUUCAGUUGUUCAUUGCUUCCUGCUUUGCUGGUUGCUCACUACUUUGUGCUAGUUGCUUUGCUGGUUGCUCACUGCCUCUCUUAUAGGAGGUGUUUGUUUCACAGUUUUUGCGUCGGUACCUGAUUACAGCGCUAUCCAAAUCCGCUCCCCGUGUUUGGUUGAGUUAGGCUGUUAUUGAAUACUACGUAAUCGAAUUACAUUGCUAUUUCAAAUCCCAUUACGCCCACCUCUGGUCGUAAAGCGAUCCCAUCUCGAUCUGCUAUUCUCGCUCAAGUCCUCUUCUCGUUCCGCCAAAGAAGCCAGAAUCCAUCAGUCAAACCAUUGCCAGAUCUCUCUCUUCGUCCGCCACCGCCUUCCCGGAGCACCACCGCCCCGCCGGAGUGCCGCCAGUCGCUGCCACCGGCGUUGGAGCAGUGGCGCCGCCACCGCCCUGCCGGAUCGCUGCCGCCACCACCAGCAGCGCCACCUGAGCUUGGUGUCCAUGACCGGUGAUCUAUCCAUGGAGAAGGAGAAUCACGCGGCCAUAGCCCUCAUUUUCUUGUAUCUUCGAUCGUUGAGUUCUCUGUUACCGUUACCUGAACGAACCAAGCAAAACCAGAAAUACACCGAUUACAGCGACAACAUGGUGUAACCUAAUUACGUUACUGGUUACGUUAACGAUGACGCAACCAAACACCUCCAUAGUGGUUAGUGGAUGCCUGGAUGGUUAGAAUAAUGCAUGAUUACUGUUGGGGAAAAGAGAAAGUGCAAAGAGGAUGGAUUCUAUAUGGGCUCUACAACCAGCAGCAAGCGCAAGAUGUGUACUGUGUAUGCCUAGUUGCCUACCAAAUGUUGCUUCAUGCUGCUGCUUAGAACUCUCUAAGGUGUCUGCCUUGCCUUAUGACUUAUCACUUAGGCAGUGAGCCCUGGAACCUUCUAGAACCCAAGAAUUGCAUGAAAAUCAUUAUAUCAUAUGAUGACAAAGGCAUGUAGAAGGGGGUUGUGGGAAACGCAGGGGGCUCANNNNNNNNNNNNNNNNNNNNNNNNNNNNNNNNNNNNNNNNNNNNNNNNNNNNNNNNNNNNNNNNNNNNNNNNNNNNNNNNNNNNNNNNNNNNNNNNNNNNNNNNNNNNNNNNNNNNNNNNNNNNNNNNNNNNNNNNNNNNNNNNNNNNNNNNNNNNNNNNNNNNNNNNNNNNNNNNNNNNNNNNNNNNNNNNNNNNNNNNNNNNNNNNNNNNNNNNNNNNNNNNNNNNNNNNNNNNNNNNNNNNNNNNNNNNNNNNNNNNNNNNNNNNNNNNNACACACACACACAUGCGCGCGCAUGCGUGUGCAUGCAUCUAGGGCCUGAUGUGCUCUAACCUCUAAGGGAUACAACGAAGAGAAAAUGGGGUUUUUGAUGUGUGAUCUACAAGCAAGUUGGCUAACUUGAUGUUCCUCGUCACAAGCACAAAACUAUCAAAUGAAGUAGCAUAUGUUGUGGACAAGAGGACGAGUGUAUGGUUGAACCCAUGCGAAGGAGUAAAGACAGGGUUUGUUUUGGAGAUCGUUCGUCUUUGUGAAGCAUUGAAGAAUGCGUGUGCUUAGUCAGUACCUUGAACCAUUGGCCAUGAUCCUGGAUCAGCUGGUCGUGCCGAUGAAUGGAAACGUGUGUGUUAAACAGCAAAAUAGUCUUGAUGGAAGCCAUCAACGACAUGAACACCGACGCCAAGGUGAUGCUUGCAUCAACCAAGGCCUGCUGUGAAUGCAUAACACUUGUUGGUCACUGCGCGACACUCAUGGAGAGCAAUCUUUAAAUUAUUCAGAAACACAGUUGGUGCAUAGCGAGUAGUUCUCCUCAUUAUCCUAUGGAAUUCUUUUGUCGGAAGGCAACGAUUGGCCGAGCCUGUAGAAGGAUGUGUUUAUCCACUGGGGGGCCAUGGCCCCCCACAAAAAGAUUGCAAAAUGUUUUUUAAUAGUGCAUGCAUAUGCAUAUAUCCAUUAUAUUAAUUUUGGUGCAGCCUAAAUACUCCAAAACUUCAACCCUUCAUAAUGUUGCCUUCACAUAGGUCGAAAUCUAGGUCCACCACUGCGGUGAGGAGAGGUGAUUUUUCUAAGCGAGAAAACAUAUAGCAAUAUUGUACUUCCUCCAAUCCAAAAUAAGUGUCGCGGUUUUAGUUUAUAUUUGAACUACUACGACACUUAUUUUGGGUCAGAGGGAGUAUUAAGAACUUGCUCCAUUCCUAAAUUUCAUGUUGUAAAAUAAAAUUAUCGGGUAGGUAAUUUUGGACUCUAUUCCUUUUGGUUACCAUAGAUCAUGUUCUCUUUUGCCACUGCAUAUUUAAAAUAGACUUCUACAUGUUCACAAACAUGAAAAAAUUACCCUAGUUUUCAUACAUAUCACCCUAAAUAUAUUCCUCUUUUGGAUUAGGUGGGAGGGAGGAUUGGCUGGUCUAAAGAGCAAAAUGGAGUCUUCUGCAAAAUUGUCAUAGCUGAUCAGACGCACUGUAGAAGUGGGAUUUGUUAGUAUCAUGCUAUUUCUCAUGGUUUGGUUAUAAAUCAUCGUCCUGCGCAUUUACGAAAUAGAUGCAGAGUGCCUGGCCAUUGAAGGAACCAAAAAGAAAUCGUGAUUUUUUGUCUCUGGCACUAACUAAAAGUAGAUGCAGAGUACCCCGACCAUUGUGUCUGGCACUAACUAAAAGUAGAUGCAGAGUGCCCGACCAUUGAAGGAACCGGAAACAAAUCGUGGUUUUUUUGUCAGAUUUUAAACAUGGCAACUCAAACGUUUUUUAUGGCAACUUCAGUUGACACGAGGUGGCAAGUGGUUUUUUUGUCGGAUUUUGAGCAUGGCAACUUCAGUUGACACGAGGUGGCAAGUUUAAUUGGUAGACAUGUGUCAAAAUGACAUGCUUACCCAUGAUUGUGAAGGACGUGCACUGAUUUCCAGCGCCUGCCUUCUUGCUUCUCAAAGCAACACUUCAGUUAUCUUAUCCACCUGAACACCCAGUUCCUUUAGGGAUUCUAAAGUGUGUAAGGGCUUAAGGCUGCGCAAUCCUCCUAAGUCCAUAAAUUGAAACGAUUAAGCAAACGUACAGCUCUAGGCACGAGAGCUUCUUAUUGCUUGGUGGUAAGAUCGAGUUCCGAGUCACAGCUCAGAUAUGGAAACAACUGUAAACAAGAACAUCUGGAUCAUCCUAUCACAGUUAUCAAAGACUGAUUUUACUCCACAUGAUAGAUGUUUCGCCAUUACAAACCGCUCAGCAAUUCAACUAUUUAAAGGUAGCAGGCAUUCAAGACCAGGGCAUCACUCAAAAACAAAACCAGUAGCAUUUCUGUAAGAGGGGUAACUAAAUGGGACGACAUAAUGUUUUCCAGAUCAACCAAUCCCAGUACCAAGAAUCCAGCAGCAACAGGUGGGCGAACAAAGAUUCUAGAUCUUGUUGAAGGCAACGAUGUCACACGACUGGACAUACUCGUUGAUGGGCGCCUCACAGAGCACUUCCUCAAUAAGGGUGUCGACAGACACAAGGUCGUCGAUGAUCGUCAGCAUGAUCUGGAGCUUCUUGAUGCCAUAACCCACAGGCAUAAGCUUAGCUGCAAGAGUGAAAGCAGGGUGUCAACUUCGCCAAACUGUUGCAUCAGUGAGCUAUAAUAGAGAUAAAUACUAUGAAAAGUAAUGAGUUCCUUACAUGCACCCCAGGUGAGACCCUCCAUUUGAACACUGCGGACAGCCUCCUCCAACUUCUUCAUGUCAGUCUCAUCGUCCCAUGGCUUGAUGUCCAUGAGGACGGAGGAUUU
rnacentral:lncRNA from 1 species